rfam:Salmo salar isolate Sally breed double haploid chromosome ssa10, whole genome shotgun sequence.
UGCACUCGCAACUGUAAGUCGCUCUGGAUAAGAACGUCUGCGAAAUGACUAAGA